AUCGCUUCUUGCCCUUCUGGCUAAAAUCAAGUGUAGUAUCUGUUCUCAUCAGUUUAAUAUCUGAUACAUUCUCUAUCCAAAGAGAAUAUAUUUAAUGGAUUUUGGAGCAAGAAGGUGGAAUAAAAGCUUGCUCUGUCCACUCCAUGCACCGACCUGUCAUUGAAGUGCCUCUGGGAAUGGUGCACACACA